rnacentral:rRNA from 1 species
CAGCCGCCGCGGGAAUACGUAGGUGGCAAGCGUUGUCCGGAAUUAUUGGGCGUAAAGGGCUCGCAGGCGGUUUCUUAAGUCUGAUGUGAAAGCCCCCGGCUCAACCGGGGAGGGUCAUUGGAAACUGGGAAACUUGAGUGCAGAAGAGGAGAGUGGAAUUCCACGUGUAGCGGUGAAAUUCGUAGGGAUGUGGAGGAACACCAGUGGCGAAGGCGACUCUCUGGUCUGUAACUGACGCUGAGGAGCGAAAGCGUGGGGAGCGAACAGGAUUAGAUACCCGUGUAGUCCCUGUCUCUUAUAC